CCACCAACUGUCCACUCCACGUACUCCCACGCCACCCACCCCGAGCCAGAUCUAGAUCGAGACCCCCUACACCAGCGGCCUCCCGUCCCCCCUUCCUCAACCUCACCUCCUCUGCUAUCCACCGGACGCCCCUGCACACACGGGAAACUGCUGCUCGGCAUCUCCAGCAGCCAAGGCCGGGCUCCCGGCCUCUACGCGGCGUCGUCUCUUCCUUCCCCGUCGACAUCUGUCACCGUCGCCGUCCCGGUCCGGCCUUCCAUGCCGCAGCGGUAGAAGAUAGCGACAGAGUGAUAAGGUUUGUGCAGAGAUCUUCUCCUCCGUCGCCGUCCGCGACAAAGCUGCUGGGUGCAUCUGUCCAUCUUCAGAUCUGAGUGAAGAGGGCAUCCGUCCAUAUCAAAAGGUUUAAUUUUUGUACCACCUAAUUAACUUGUCUUUUCAUCAGUUCCUCCUUGAGUAAUUGGAAAGGGAAUUAUAUUAGACUGCUAGCUAAUUCUUGGUGAAAAUAUGUAUGUAUGUAUGUAGUCUUGUAUGUAUGUAGAGAGUCUUGUAGCAAUUAUUCUUAGAGUAAACCGGAGCAGUAUUCGAUGAUAUAUUGUGAGUCACUGAAAAUGUAUACUGUUUUUUUCUUCGGGAUAUGGAUGACUAUCUGAAGGUAUGCAGGUUUCUUUCCAAACUUAACAAUGAGAUACUAGGUGAAAGAAAUACUCCCUACAAGGAAAGGUUGAGCCGCCUAGAGAAUUUAGUACUGAUCAUGGGUUGAUCGACGUGGACUACCGUGACCUGGUCUGCGUCGUGCUCUUCAACCACACAGAGACGGACUUCACCGUGAAGCCUGGCGACCGCGUCAUAUAGAUGAUUGUCCAGGUGAUUGCGGCGCUGGAGGUCACCGAGGUGGAGGACCUUGACGCCACCGUCCUGAGUCGUCGAGGUGGAGGACCUCGACGCCACUGUCUGGAGGUUGCCCAGGUGAAGGACCUCGACGCCUUGUAGAUACAUCUAGAGAAGUGGUCUGCUUAGGUUGGUGGCGGAACGCUAGGGAAGGUACCUACCUUUCGGUGAUGUUUGUGUGCGUCUAAAGUAUAAAUGGGAUCUCGUGAUCUCUUUGAAUUGAGAUGUUCAAUGUUGUAUCCAUGAACGCUGCAAUUGCUAAGUAAGAAUUUAAGUGUUAAGAUGGUUCUGUGACCUUCA